GCGCUUCAGUCUAGAGUUGACCGUACCGCAAACCGACACAGGUGGGCAGGAUGAAAAUUCUAAGGCGCUUGAGAGAACUCAGGAGAAGGAACUCGGCAAAUUAACACCGUAACUUCGGGAGAAGGUGUGCCCCGGUAGCGUGUAGAGACUUGCUCUCGAAGCGCGAUGGGGUUGCAGUGAAAUGGUGGCUGCGACUGUUUAAUAAAAACACAGCACUCUGCAAACACGAAAGUGGACGUAUAGGGUGUGACGCCUGCCCGGUGCCGGAAGGUUAAGUGAUGGGGUGCAAGCUCUUGAUCGAAGCCCCGGUAAACGGCGGCCGUAACUAUAACGGUCCUAAGGUAGCGAAAUUCCUUGUCGGGUAAGUUCCGACCUGCACGAAUGGCGUAACGAUGGCCACACUGUCUCCUCCUGGGACUCAGCGAAGUUGAAAGGUUUGUGAAGAUGCAAUCUACCCGCGGCUAGACGGAAAGACCCCAUGAACCUUUACUGUAGCUUUGCAUUGGACUUUGAACCGGUUUGUGUAGGAUAGGUGGGAGACUGUGAAGCCGGGACGCUAGUUUCGGUGGAGUCAACCUUGAAAUACCACCCUGAUUUGUUUGAGGUUCUAACCUUGGUCCGUGAAUCCGGAUCGGGGACCGUGCAUGGUAGGCAGUUUGACUGGGGCGGUCUCCUCCCAAAAGGUAACGGAGGAGUACGAAGGUACGCUUAGGGCGGUCGGACAUCGCCCACAAAGUGCAAUGGCAAAAGCGUGCUUGACUGCGAGACCCACAAGUCGAGCAGGUACGAAAGUAGGUCAUAGUGAUCCGGUGGUUCUGUAUGGAAGGGCCAUCGCUCAACGGAUAAAAGGUACUCUGGGGAUAACAGGCUAAUUCCUCCCAAGAGUUCAUAUCGACGGGGGAGUUUGGCACCUCGAUGUCGGCUCAUCACAUCCUGGGGCUGUAGUCGGUCCCAAGGGUAUGGCUGUUCGCCAUUUAAAGUGGUACGCGAGCUGGGUUUAAAACGUCGUGAGACAGUUUGGUCCCUAUCUGCCGUGGGCGCUGGAAAUUUGAAGGGGGCUGCUCCUAGUACGAGAGGACCGGAGUGGACGAACCUCUGGUGUACCGGUUAUGACGCCAGUCGUAUCGCCGGGUAGCUAAGUUCGGAAGAGAUAAACGCUGAAAGCAUCUAAGCGUGAAACUCGCCUUAAGAUAAGAUUUCCCGGAGUCUUGAACUCCCUGAAGGGUCGUC
rnacentral:rRNA from 1 species